GCCAGGCAUGGUGAUGCAUGCCUGUAGUCCCAGCUACUGAGGAGGCUGAGGCAGGAGGAUGGCUUGGGCCCAGGAGGUUGAGGUUGCAGUGAGCUGUGUUGGUGGCACUCUAUUCCAGCCUGGACCACAGAGCAAGACCCUGUCUCAA
rnacentral:SRP_RNA from 1 species